rnacentral:rRNA from 1 species
AUCAAUAGGCGGAGGAAAAGCAACUAACCAGGAUUCCCCCAGUAACGGCGAGCGAAGUGGGAAUAGCUCGAGCAGGCAAUCUCUGGCGUCGAUCGCCAGCGAAUUGUGGCCGGCAGAGGCGGCGGCACCCGAGGCGACUCCGUCGAAGUUGACCUGGAAAGGCACGUCGGAGAGGGUGAUAGCCCCGUGUGGGGCGGAGUCGCCGAGGGCCGCUACCGUCUUCGGAGAGUCGGGUUGUUUGGGAAUGCAGCCCAAAGUGGGUGGUAAACUCCAUCUAAAGCCAAAUAACGGCACGAGACCGAUAGCGAACAAGUACCAUGAGGGAAAGGUGAAAAGCACUUUGGAAAGAGAGUUAAAGAGGCCGCGAAACCGUUGGGAGGGAAACGCAUGCAGCCGAACGGGCCCGCGCCGGGUUCAGGGGGCCGCGGAGUCGCCCGAGUGUCGGUGGCACCCUCGCGGGGCCGCCUUCACUCCGGCCUUCGCCGCGCCCCUACACUCUCGGCGACCGGUGGCCGGCCAAGUGCGGUGGGGAUCCCGGCGAUGAGCGCGUUUCGGGCAGGUGGCGCGGCUGUGCUCCUCGCGGGUACGGAGGCGAGCUUAGAGCCGUGCACGCGGAGCGCCAGGGUCCCACCGAGGAGAGCGGUGGCACUUUCCACCCCGGCAGUGCAGGCCCCCCGGGGCCGGGGCGCUCCUGUCCGUUCAGCCGUCGCGCCGAGUCACUGCGUGCAGUGUCCGGCGUCGCCGGCGAGUCCGGGCGGGAGGCCGUCCACGUCUUGCGCUGCGGUCGCUUGGCUAGCCGUCGACUGCAUUCGA